rnacentral:rRNA from 1 species
CCAACCUUGAAAUACCACCCUUUAAUGUUUGAUGUUCUAACGUGGACCCGUAAUCCGGGUUGCGGACAGUGUCUGGUGGGUAGUUUGACUGGGGCGGUCUCCUCCUAAAGAGUAACGGAGGAGCACGAAGGUUGGCUAAUCCUGGUCGGACAUCAGGAGGUUAGUGCAAUGGCAUAAGCCAGCUUGACUGCGAGCGUGACGGCGCGAGCAGGUGCGAAAGCAGGUCAUAGUGAUCCGGUGGUUCUGAAUGGAAGGGCCAUCGCUCAACGGAUAAAAGGUACUCCGGGGAUAACAGGCUGAUACCGCCCAAGAGUUCAUAUCGACGGCGGUGUUUGGCACCUCGAUGUCGGCUCAUCACAUCCUGGGGCUGAAGUAGGUCCCAAGGGUAUGGCUGUUCGCCAUUUAAAGUGGUACGCGAGCUGGGUUUAGAACGUCGUGAGACAGUUCGGUCCCUAUCUGCCGUGGGCGCUGGAGAACUGAGGGGGGCUGCUCCUAGUACGAGAGGACCGGAGUGGACGCAUCACUGGUGUUCGGGUUGUCAUGCCAAUGGCACUGCCCGGUAGCUAAAUGCGGAAGAGAUAAGUGCUGAAAGCAUCUAAGCACGAAACUUGCCCCGA